GGACGUCGCUGUCGCGCCUGCAGUGGUUCUCGCUGGCGCUGCUCUUCGCGGGGGUGGCCCUGGUGCAGGCCGAGCAGGUGCGGCCGCCGCCGGGGGGCGGGGGGGGCGGCCCCGAGGGCUCCCAGUGCUCCCAGUGCCCCCCCUCAGCGCAGCAGGCGGGCCAGCACCCAGCAGCCCAGCGUCACCCAGUGGCUGGCCCAGUGCAGCUCCGACCACUUGCGGAUGGUGUAGGACAUCCCGUAGCCCUGGGGGGGGGGAGAAAUUAGUGGGGGGGACCCCAAAAACCCUGACCCCCCCCCCAGGACAUC
rnacentral:lncRNA from 1 species